rnacentral:misc_RNA from 1 species
GAUGAAGAACGCAGCGAAAUGCGAUAAGUAAUGUGAAUUGCAGAAUUCAGUGAAUCAUGGAAUCUUUGAACGCACAUUGCGCCCGCCAGUAUUCUGGCGGGCAUGCCUGUUCGAGCGUCAUUACAACCCUCAGGCCCCCGGGCCUGGCGUUGGGGAUCGGCGGAGCCCCCCGUGGGCACACGCCGUCCCCCAAAUGCAGUGGCGGUCCCGCCGCAGCUUCCAUCGCGUAGUAGCUAACACCUCGCGACUGGAGAGCGGCGCGGCCACGCCGUAAAACACCCAACUCUUCUGAAGUUGACCUCGAAUCAGGUAGGAAUACCCGCUGAACUUAAGCAUAUCAAUAAGCGGAGGA